GAAGGGCCAUCUCUCAACGGAUAAAAGGUACUCCGGGGAUAACAGGCUGAUACCGCCCAAGAGUUCAUAUCGACGGCAGUGUUUAGCACCUCGAUGUCGGCUCAUCACAUCCUGGGGCUGAAGUAGGUCCCAAGGGUAUGGCUGUUCGCCAUUUAAAGUGGUACGCGAGCUGGGUUUAGAACGUCGUGAGACAGUUCGGUCCCUAUCUGCCGUGGGCGCUGGAGAAUUGAGGGGGGCUGCUCCUAGUACGAGAGGACCGGAGUGGACGCAUCACUGGUGUUCGGGUUGUCAUGCCAAUGGCACUGCCCGGUAGCUAAAUGCGGAAGAGAUAAGUGCUGAAAGCAUCUAAGCACGAAACUUGCCCCGAGAUGAGUUCUCCCUGAGACUAUAAGUCUCCUGAAGGAACGUUGAAGACGACGACGUUGAUAGGCCGGGUGUGUAAGCGCAGCGAUGCGUUGAGCUAACCGGUACUAAUGAACCGUGAGGCUUAACCUUACAACGCCGAAG
rnacentral:rRNA from 1 species